CUUUAAAGUUGCGGCUAAUCAGCAAUCUCCUUUUUAAUCCGAUUAAGCACCAAAGCUUGUUUUCAAAAACAAUUUGCUCGCCCUCACCACUCCAGAUAAAAUAUACGCUAAUAUAUACUAAUAGUAAUAUGUUAAUGUAUUACCAUUCCAGAUAAAAAUAUAUGCUAAUGGUUCGAGUAAUGAGCAACCUUCUUUGCACGCUGAUGUCUUGCUGCGGAGACCAGGAUUCACUCACCCCGUUGGAUCCAGUGAGAUCAGCCAGUGCUACUAUGGCAAACAAAGACCGCAAAGCAUUGUCUGCUAAAGAUAAGGGGAAAAGUAGACAUUACAUUCACAGGGAGCAGGUUAAGCAGGCAAAGGAGCAAACUGUAGCAGGGUUUGAGCAGAAAACUAACAAGAGGUUGUAUGACAAGCCUCUUACUGCGAAACCAUCGCUCAGGAAAAAGAUUAAUUCUGCGGAGCCCGAAUCUCCGGGCGCAGAGAGUCCUAAGCCUGGCAGUGAGACUUCCUAAUCCUGCCAUAUUUGGUCAAGACAACAAUUGUAGAAUAAAAGAAAAAUACGACCAUCAACAAGGAUUCUCAAAUAAAAACUGGAAUUUCAGGAACACUCUUAUUCUUAUACUAUUUUCGCGAUUAACCUAUCCUUAUAGUUAUAGUUAUUGAGGAAAGUCACUAGUUUGACUCAGUAGUGGACUUGUGAAUGGAUCAAAUAGUUACAUAUUUAUAUGUUAGCAGUUUCUUUGCAAGUGCAAAUACAAAGAUAUAAUGUGAACAUUUAUAUUUGAAGUUGAAUCUGGAUUGAAAUAUGCCCAAAGAUAACAUUUUUUAGGCUUAAUGACUUCCUGAGGUGAAUUCUUUCAUUUCUAUAAAUACAAUCAAA